GACGAACGCUGGCGGCGUGCUUAACACAUGCAAGUCGAACGGAAAGGCCCUGCUUUUGUUUGGUGCUCGAGUGUCGAACGUGUGAGUAACACGUGUGUGACCUGCCCUUGACUUUGGGAUAACUUCAGGAGACUAGGGCUGAUACCGGAUACGAGCUCCUGCUGCAUGGUGGGGGUUGGAAAUCUUCGGCGGGUGGGGAUGGACUGGAGGCGUAUCAGCUUCUUGGGGGGGUAGUGGCUUACCAAGGCCGUGACGGGUAGCCGGCCUGAGAGGGUGACCGGCCACAUUGGGACUGAGAUAAGGCACAGACUCCUACGGGAGGCAGCAGUGGGGAAUAGUGCACAACGGGCGGAAGCCUGAUGCAGUAAAGCCGCGUGCGGGAUGACGGCCUUCGGGUUGGAAACCGCUUUCGCCUGUGAAGAAGAGUGAGUGACGGUAAUGGGUAAAGAAGCACCGGCUAAAUACGUG
rnacentral:rRNA from 1 species